AUGAGAAGCAGAAGUCAGGGCUGGCAGCGGAGUAACAAAGUCGGUAAAGCAGGCAGAGGUCAGAGUCCAGGAAAUCAGUCAAUAGCGAAGCUGAGAUCCAGCAGGAAACACCAAACAGACAAAACGACCAGAUACCAGGUCUCAGGCAGGGCUGGCUUUUACAGCCUGCUAAUUAGAUGCAGCUGACCCUAAUUGGAAAAGGUGGAUCAGUACUGCUCCAUCCAGGCAAAGAGUCAGGAAGCAG